rnacentral:misc_RNA from 1 species
GGUGAAGAACGUAGUGAAAUGCGAUACUUGGUGUGAAUUGCAGAAUCCCGUGAACCAUCGAGUCUUUGAACGCAAGUUGCGCCCGAAGCCAUUAGGCCGAGGGCACGCCUGCCUGGGCGUCACACGUCGUUGCCCCCCCAUCUACUCCUUCGGGAUUGCGGGGGGCGGAUGAUGGCCUCCCGUGCGCCUCGUCGCGCGGUUGGCAUAAAUGCCAAGUCCUCGGCGACGCACGCCACGACAAUCGGUGGUUGCGAAACCUCGGUUGCCCGUCGUGUGCGGUCGUCGCGCAUCGAGGGCUCGAAAAAAUUGCCGGGCUCCGGCUCGGCUUUCAACGCGACCCCAGGUCAGGCGGGGUUACCCGCUGAAUUUAAGCAUAUCAAUAAGCGGAGGA